rnacentral:lncRNA from 1 species
CUCAAAGGAAGGAAUCAACAGCAUUAGCUCUCAAGCCUGGCAGGGCGAGAGCUCUUAGGCGGCAACUGCGAAUGUUAUGAGAAACAAGCCUUAAAUUUAUCAUCAUUGCCAUACUAUUAAGGAUUUGUAAGAAAAUAAAAACAAAAACCAAAAAAGUUGUUACUUCAAAUAAAUCAAAUGUAAUCACAGAAACCGGCUCUGUAGACCGAUGGAGAUGCAGUCCCAGGUUCCUAUAAACAUGUGAAACGUCCGAAACCAACUCGGUUUUGGCCUAAUCAAAGCAUCACCGGUCAAAGCCAUAGCUACAGGUGACGUGGCAUCAGGCCUAAACAAUCACAAAAAUAGCAGAUGCAAAUUUUAGAUUAUAUGAGACAAAGCUACGCACAAUCCCUCAGAGACCCGUUUAAAAUCACACACACACCCGAAUUAAACCAAUUGCAAAUGGGUACUCCAUCCAAGACCAAACCACAAAGGUUAUGGUCGAAGGAUGGACACUUGCAAAGGAGAAAAGCAGCUGCUGUUUAAAGUGUCAUACGGCACUUCCUAUGGUCUUAGAUUCCUCACCGGGACAAGGUUGCAACUCAUAAUACAUGAACAGAAUUUAGAUCUAUAUAAACUACAAUAUUAUUGGAUUAAGCCUCAGGAAGACAGACAAAUGUCGUCAUUUGAUAAUCCGACGGUAAUUCCAACAAUAUGCUAAUCAUCACAGGCUCAAAAUCAUAGAUGUAGGAAGCAGAAACAAUUAUAAAACACGCAAGAUUGGAUGAAAGAAUAUAAAUUGGAUAUUUAAAGCAUCAUCAGAAAGAAAAGCCUUCUCAUUCACAGUGUGAUUGCACUGUGUCAGAAGGUGUCCUAAGAUUGUUAUAAGGUUUCAUCCUCUGAUACUGUAAAAAUUCCACAUAAACUAUAAACAAUAAAGGAUAUGUUGUGACUGGAUUCAGAUGCAGAGAUGUGUAACGUCAUAUGGACGACAAAAGCCGUCCUCUGAUCAAGUGUAGGAUUAUGCAUCAAUUACCUACUCACAAUCCAAACAGAUCUAAGAAAACAAUAAAAAAAACAUAGAAAUAAUAAGAACAAAUUGGAGGUGGAUUUCAUGUUACUCAGUGGUGGCUUUAAUAAUUGGUUCGAUUCUGCCAGCGAGCGUCCUCAAUGCCUUCAGAAGAGGGAGCAUAAUAUCCUCAUCGCAACAGCCUCCUCCAAUGCAAAGAACACAGAUCUAAACCGAAAUGGAACAAAAAAUAUACAAAUUUUAACACAAAAUAUCAAACCAUAAAUAAUAAAAAGAGCAAUACAAGAUGGCUCGGUUCAGCGGGAAAAUCGGCAUACAAAUCAAUCCCAGAGGAGUAGAUCCAGAGAGGAAGACCUGUGAUUUGGUCUGUUGAGCUUGAAUAUUACCAAGUCGUCACUGCCAUCACAUCGCUUGCAUAAUAGAACAGCGUGACAAAAAAAAGAUCAAAACGAAACAAAAGAAAUUGCAGGAUGUAGAAAAAAUUCAAGUCCUCACUGCCAUUGCAUCGCAUGCAUUAUAGAACAAAACAGCCGUGAAAAAAACAUCAAAAUGAAACAACAAAUCACAGGAUGUAGCAAAAAGUGCAGAAGAAUAAGCAGAUUUGGCUGUGCUAGGAAAAGCGUCUACGGGGGAGGAAAGAGGAGGAGAUUUGCUGCAAGAGGAGGAGAUUUGCUGCAGCAGUAGCACUAACCCUCAAGCCUGGCAGGGCGAAAGCUCUUAGGCGGCAACUGCGAAUGUCAUGAGAAACAAGCCUUGAUUUUAGCAUCACAAGGCAUCCAUCACAGCCGACAUACUUUUCAGUAAACAUGAACGACUAAACUGGCAAUCAAAUUAAUUGAAGAUAAUGAAUUAAAAAUGGGCAAAACAAAUUAUUUAAAGAGGAUAGAGUUGGUGUUGCUGUGCAUCAGACAUCCAAGGAAGGAAUUAGCAGCACUAGCUCUCAAGCCUGGCAGGGCGAAAGCUCUUAGGCGGCAACUGCGAAUUUCAUGAGAAACAAGCCUUGAUUAUAGCAUCAUUUGCAAUGCAGAACACUAACUUACACAGAGCAAAAGAACACAAAUAUGAAUAUAUAAAUAACAUGGCUCAGACAUCCAAGGAAGGAAUUAACAGCAUUAGCUCUCAAGCCUGGCAGGGCGAGAGCUCUUAGGCGGCAACUGCGAAUGUUAUGAGAAACAAGCCUUAAAUUUAUCAUCAUUGCCAUACUAUUAAGGAUUUGUAAGAAAAUAAAAACAAAAACCAAAAAAGUUGUUACUUCAAAUAAAUCAAAUGUAAUCACAGAAACCGGCUCUGUAGACCGAUGGAGAUGCAGUCCCAGGUUCCUAUAAACAUGUGAAACGUCCGAAACCAACUCGGUUUUGGCCUAAUCAAAGCAUCACCGGUCAAAGCCAUAGCUACAGGUGACGUGGCAUCAGGCCUAAACAAUCACAAAAAUAGCAGAUGCAAAUUUUAGAUUAUAUGAGACAAAGCUACGCACAAUCCCUCAGAGACCCGUUUAAAAUCACACACACCCGAAUUAAACCAAUUGCAAAUGGGUACUCCAUCCAAGACCAAACCACAAAGGUUAUGGUCGAAGGAUGGACACUUGCAAAGGAGAAAAGCAGCUGCUGUUUAAAGUGUCAUACGGCACUUCCUAUGGUCUUAGAUUCCUCACCGGGACAAGGUUGCAACUCAUAAUACAUGAACAGAAUUUAGAUCUAUAUAAACUACAAUAUUAUUGGAUUAAGCCUCAGGAAGCCAGACAAAUGUCGUCAUUUGAUAAUCCGACGGUAAUUCCAACAAUAUGCUAAUCAUCACAGGCUCAAAAUCAUAGAUGUAGGAAGCAGAAACAAUUAUAAAACACGCAAGAUUGGAUGAAAGAAUAUAAAUUGGAUAUUUAAAGCAUCAUCAGAAAGAAAAGCCUUCUCAUUCACAGUGUGAUUGCACUGUGUCAGAAGGUGUCCUAAGAUUGUUAUAAGGUUUCAUCCUCAGAUACUUUAAAAAUUCCACAUAAACUAUAAACGAUAAAGGAUAUGUUCUGUGACUGGAUUCAGAUGCAGAGAUGUGUAACGUCAUAUGGACGACAAAAGCCGUCCUCUGAUCAAGUGUUGGAUUAUGCAUCAAUUACCUACUCACAAUCCAAACAGAUCUAAGAAAACAAUAAAAAAAACAUAGAAAUAAUAAGAACAAAUUGGAAGAGGAUUUCAUGUUACUCAGUGGUGGCUUUAAUAAUUGGUUCGAUUCUGCCAGCGAGCGUCCUCAAUGCCUUCAGAAGAGGGAGCAUAAUAUCCUCAUCGCAACAGCGUCCUCCAAUGCAAAGAACACAGAUCUAAACCGAAAUGGAAUAAAAAAUAUACAAAUUUUAACACAAAAUAUCAAACCAUAAAUAAUAAAAAGAGCAAUACAUGAUGGCUCGGUUCAGCGGGAAAAUCGGCAUACAAAUCAAUCCCAGAGGAGUGGAUCCAGAGAGGAAGACCUGUGAUUUGGUCUGUUGAGCUUGAAUAUUACCAAGUCGUCACUGCCAUCGCAUCGCUUGCAUAAUAGAACAGCGUGACAAAAAAAAGAUCAAAACGAAACAAAAGAAAUUGCAGGAUGUAGAAAAAAUUCAAGUCCUCACUGCCAUUGCAUCGCAUGCAUAAUAGAACAAAACAGCCGUGAAAAAAACAUCAAAAUGAAACAACAAAUCACAGGAUGUAGCAAAAAGUGCAGAAGAAUAAGCAGAUCUGGCUGUGCUAGGAAAAGCGUCUACGGGGGAGGAAAGAGGAGGAGAUUUGCUGCAAGAGGAGGAGAUUUGCUGCAGCAGUAGCACUAACCCUCAAGCCUGGCAGGGCGAAAGCUCUUAGGCGGCAACUGCGAAUGUCAUGAGAAACAAGCCUUGAUUUUAGCAUCACAAGGCAUCCAUCACAGCCGACAUACUUUUCAGUAAACAUGAAUGACUAAACUGGCAAUCAAAUUAAUUGAAGAUAAUGAAUUAAAAAUGGGCAAAACAAAUUUUUUAAAGAGGAUAGAGUUGGUGUUGCUGUGCAUCAGACAUCCAAGGAAGGUAUUAGCAGCACUAGCUCUCAAGCCUGGCAGGGCGAAAGCUCUUAGGCGGCAACUGCGAAUUUCAUGAGAAACAAGCCUUGAUUAUAGCAUCAUUUGCAAUGCAGAACACUAACUUACACAGAGCAAAAGAACACAAAUAUGAAUAUAUAAAGAACAUGGCUCAGACAUCCAAGGAAUGAAUUAACAGCAUUAGCUCUCAAGCCUGGCAGGGCGAGAGCUCUUAGGCGGCAACUGCGAAUGUUAUGAGAAACAAGCCUUAAAUUUAUCAUCAUUGCCAUACUAUUAAGGAUUUGUAAGAAAAUAAAAACAAAAACCAAAAAAGUUGUUACUUCAAAUAAAUCAAAUGUAAUCACAGAGACCGGCUCUGUAGACCGAUGGAGAUGCAGUCCCAGGUUCCUAUAAACAUGUGAAACGUCGGAAACCAACUCGGUUUUGGCCUAAUCAAAGCAUCACCGGUCAAAGCCCUAGCUACAGGUGACGUGGCAUCAGGCCUAAACAAUCACAAAAAUAUCAGAUGCAAAUUUUAGAUUAUAUGAGACAAAGCUACGCACAAUCCCUCAGAGACCCGUUUAAAAUCACACACAGCCGAAUUAAACCAAUUGCAAAUGGGUACUCCAUCCAAGACCAAACCACAAAGGUUAUGGUCGAAGGAUGGACACUUGCAAAGGAGAAAAGCAGCUGCUGUUUAAAGUGUCAUACGGCACUUCCUAUGGUCUUAGAUUCCUCACCGGGACAAGGUUGCAACUCAUAAUACAUGAACAGAAUUUAGAUCUAUAUAAACUACAAUAUUAUUGGAUUAAGCCUCAGGAAGCCAGACAAAUGUCGUCAUUUGAUAAUCCGACGGUAAUUCCAACAAUAUGCUAAUCAUCACAGGCUCAAAAUCAUAGAUGUAGGAAGCAGAAACAAUUAUAAAACACGCAAGAUUGGAUGAAAGAAUAUAAAUUUGAUAUUUAAAGCAUCAUCAGAAAGAAAAGCCUUCUCAUUCACAGUGUGAUUGCACUGUGUCAGAAGGUGUCCUAAGAUUGUUAUAAGGUUUCAUCCUCAGAUACUUUAAAAAUUCCACAUAAACUAUAAACGAUAAAGGAUAUGUUCUGUGACUGGAUUCAGAUGCAGAGAUGUGUAACGUCAUAUGGACGACAAAAGCCGUCCUCUGAUCAAGUGUUGGAUUAUGCAUCAAUUACCUACUCACAAUCCAAACAGAUCUAAGAAAACAAUAAAAAAAACAUAGAAAUAAUAAGAACAAAUUGGAGGAGGAUUUCAUGUUACUCAGUGGUGGCUUUAAUAAUUGGUUCGAUUCUGCCAGCGAGCGUCCUCAAUGCCUUCAGAAGAGGGAGAAUAAUAUCCUCAUCGCAACAGCCUCCUCCAAAGCAAAGAACACAGAUCUAAACCGAAAUGGAAUAAAAAAUAUACAAAUUUUAACACAAAAUAUCAAACCAUAAAUAAUAAAAAGAGCAAUACAAGAUGGCUCGGUUCAGCGGGAAAAUCGGCAUACAAAUCAAUCCCAGAGGAGUGGAUCCAGAGAGGAAGACCUGUGAUUUGGUCUGUUGAGCUUGAAUAUUACCAAGUCGUCACUGCCAUCGCAUCGCUUGCAUAAUAGAACAGCGUGACAAAAAAAAGAUCAAAACGAAACAAAAGAAAUUGCAGGAUGUAGAAAAAAUUCAAGUCCUCACUGCCAUUGCAUCGCAUGCAUAAUAGAACAAAACAGCCGUGAAAAAAACAUCAAAAUGAAACAACAAAUCACAGGAUGUAGCAAAAAGUGCAGAAGAAUAAGCAGAUCUGGCUGUGCUAGGAAAAGCGUCAACGGGGGAGGAAAGAGGAGGAGAUUUGCUGCAAGACGAGGAGAUUUGCUGCAGCAGUAGCACUAACCCUCAAGCCUGGCAGGGCGAAAGCUCUUAGGCGGCAACUGCGAAUGUCAUGAGAAACAAGCCUUGAUUUUAGCAUCACAAGGCAUCCAUCACAGCCGACAUACUUUUCAGUAAACAUGAAUGACUAAACUGGCAAUCAAAUUAAUUGAAGAUAAUGAAUUAAAAAUGGGCAAAACAAAUUUUUUAAAGAGGAUAGAGUUGGUGUUGCUGUGCAUCAGACAUCCAAGGAAGGUAUUAGCAGCACUAGCUCUCAAGCCUGGCAGGGCGAAAGCUCUUAGGCGGCAACUGCGAAUUUCAUGAGAAACAAGCCUUGAUUAUAGCAUCAUUUGCAAUGCAGAACACUAACUUACACAGAGCAAAAGAACACAAAUAUGAAUAUAUAAAGAACAUGGCUCAGACAUCCAAGGAAGGAAUUAACAGCAUUAGCUCUCAAGCCUGGCAGGGCGAGAGCUCUUAGGCGGCAACUGCGAAUGUUAUGAGAAACAAGCCUUAAAUUUAUCAUCAUUGCCAUACUAUUAAGGAUUUGUAAGAAAAUAAAAACAAAAACCAAAAAAGUUGUUACUUCAAAUAAAUCAAAUUUAAUCACAGAAACCGGCUCUGUAGACCGAUGGAGAUGCAGUCCCAGGUUCAUAUAAACAUGUGAAACGUCGGAAACCAACUCUGUUUUGGCCUAAUCAAAGCAUCACCGGUCAAAGCCGUAUCUACAGGUGACGUGGCAUCAGGCCUAAACAAUCACAAAAAUAGCAGAUGCAAAUUUUAGAUUAUAUGAGACAAAGCUACGCACAAUCCCUCAGAGACCCGUUUAAAAUCACACACACAGUCGAAUUAAACCAAUUGCAAAUGGGUACUCCAUCCCAGACCAAACCACAAAGGUUAUGGUCGAAGGAUGGACACUUGCAAAGGAGAAAAGCAGCUGCUGUUUAAAGUGUCAUACGGCACUUCCUAUGGUCUUAGAUUCCUCACCGGGACAAGGUUGCAACUCAUAAUACAUGAACAGAAUUUAGAUCUAUAUAAACUACAAUAUUAUUGGAUUAAGCCUCAGGAAGCCAGACAAAUGUCGUCAUUUGAUAAUCCGACGGUAAUUCCAACAAUAUGCUAAUCAUCACAGGCUCAAAAUCAUAGAUGUAGGAAGCAGAAACAAUUAUAAAACACGCAAGAUUGGAUGAAAGAAUAUAAAUUGGAUAUUUAAAGCAUCAUCAGAAAGAAAAGCCUUCUCAUUCACAGUGUGAUUGCACUGUGUCAGAAGGUGUCCUAAGAUUGUUAUAAGGUUUCAUCCUCUGAUACUGUAAAAAUUCCACAAACUAUAAACGAUAAAGGAUAUGUUCUGUGACUGGAUUCAGAUGCAGAGAUGUGUAACGUCAUAUGGACGACAAAAGCCAUCCUCUGAUCAAGUGUUGGAUUAUGCAUCAAUUACCUCCUCACAAUCCAAACAGAUCUAAGAAAACAAUAAAAAAACAUAGAAAUAAUAAGAACAAAUUGGAGGAGGAUUUCAUGUUACUCAGUGGUGGCUUUAAUAAUUGGUUCGAUUCUGCCAGCGAGCGUCCUCAAUGCCUUCAGAAGAGGGAGCAUAAUAUCCUCAUCGCAACAGCCUCCUCCAAUGCAAAGAACACAGAUAAAACCGAAAAGGAAUAAAAAAAUAUACAAAUUUUAACACAAAAUAUCAAACCAGAAAUAAGAAAAAAAAGAGCAAUACAAGAUGGCUCGGUUCAGCGGGAAAAUCGGCAUACAAAUCAAUCCCAGAGGAGUGGAUCCAGAGAGAAAGACCUGUGAUUUGGUCUGUUGAGCUUGAAUAUUACCAAGUCGUCACUGCCAUCGCAUUGCUGGCAUAAUAGAACAGCGUGACAAAAAAAAGAUCACAAUAGAAAUAUCAGGUUGUAGCGAAAAUUCAAGUCCUCACUGCAAUUGCAUCGCAUGCAUACUAGAAAAAAACAGCCGUGAAAAAAAACAACAAAAUGAAACAACAAAUCACAGGAUGUAGCAAAAGGUGCAGAAGAAUAAGCAGAUCUGGCUGUGCUAGGAAAAGCGUCUACGGGGGUGGAAAGAGGAGGAGAUUUGCUGCAAGAGGAGAUUUGCUGCAGCGGGAGGAAAGAGGUGGAGAUUUGCUGCAGCAGUGGCACUAACCCUCAAGCCUGGCAGGGCGAAAGCUCUUAGGCAGCAACUGCGAAUGUCAUGAGAAACAAGCCUUGAUUUUAGCAUCACAAGGCAUCCAUCACAGCCCAAAUACUUUUCAGUAAACAUGAAUGUCCAAACUGGCAAUCAAAUUAAUUGAAGAGAAUGAAUUAAAAAAUGGGCAAAACAAAUUAUUUAAAUAGGAUAGAGUUGGUGUUGCUAGGCAUCAGACAUCCAAGGAAGGAAUUAGCAGCACUAGCUCUCAAGCCUGGCAGGGCGAAAGCUCUUAGGCGGCAACUGCGAAUGUCAUGAGAAACAAGCCUUGAUUAUAGCAUCAUUUGCAAUGCAGAACACCAACUUACACAGAGCAAAAGAACACAAAUAGUAAUAUAUAAAGAAAAUGGCUCAAACAUCCAAGGAAGGAAUCAACAGCAUUAGCUCUCAAGCCUGGCAGGGCGAGAGCUCUUAGGCGGCAACUGCGAAUGUUAUGAGAAACAAGCCUUAAAUUUAUCAUCAUUGCCAUACUAUUAAGGAUUUGUAAGAAAAUAAAAACAAAAACCAAAAAAGUUGUUACUUCAAAUAAAUCAAAUGUAAUCACAGAAACCGGCUCUGUAGACCGAUGGAGAUGCAGUCCCAGGUUCCUAUAAACAUGUGAAACGUCCGAAACCAACUCGGUUUUGGCCUAAUCAAAGCAUCACCGGUCAAAGCCAUAGCUACAGGUGACGUGGCAUCAGGCCUAAACAAUCACAAAAAUAGCAGAUGCAAAUUUUAGAUUAUAUGAGACAAAGCUACGCACAAUCCCUCAGAGACCCGUUUAAAAUCACACACACCCGAAUUAAACCAAUUGCAAAUGGGUACUCCAUCCAAGACCAAACCACAAAGGUUAUGGUCGAAGGAUGGACACUUGCAAAGGAGAAAAGCAGCUGCUGUUUAAAGUGUCAUACGGCACUUCCUAUGGUCUUAGAUUCCUCACCGGGACAAGGUUGCAACUCAUAAUACAUGAACAGAAUUUAGAUCUAUAUAAACUACAAUAUUAUUGGAUUAAGCCUCAGGAAGACAGACAAAUGUCGUCAUUUGAUAAUCCGACGGUAAUUCCAACAAUAUGCUAAUCAUCACAGGCUCAAAAUCAUAGAUGUAGGAAGCAGAAACAAUUAUAAAACACGCAAGAUUGGAUGAAAGAAUAUAAAUUGGAUAUUUAAAGCAUCAUCAGAAAGAAAAGCCUUCUCAUUCACAGUGUGAUUGCACUGUGUCAGAAGGUGUCCUAAGAUUGUUAUAAGGUUUCAUCCUCUGAUACUGUAAAAAUUCCACAAACUAUAAACGAUAAAGGAUAUGUUCUGUGACUGGAUUCAGAUGCAGAGAUGUGUAACGUCAUAUGGACGACAAAAGCCAUCCUCUGAUCAAGUGUUGGAUUAUGCAUCAAUUACCUCCUCACAAUCCAAACAGAUCUAAGAAAACAAUAAAAAACAUAGAAAUAAUAAGAACAAAUUGGAGGAGGAUUUCAUGCUACUCAGUGGUGGCUUUAAUAAUUUGUUCGAUUCUGCCAGCGAGCGUCCUCAAUGCCUUCAGAAGAGGGAGCAUAAUAUCCUCAUCGCAACAGCCUCCUCCAAUGCAAAGAACACAGAUCUAAACCGAAAAGGAAUAAAAAAAUAUACAAAUUUUAACACAAAAUAUCAAACCAGAAAUAAGAAAAAAAUGAGCAAUACAAGAUGGCUCGGUUCAGCGGGAAAAUCGGCAUACAAAUCACCCAAAGUUAGAAAUAACAUAUUAGUGGCACAGCUGAAAACAAAAUAAGAAAUCACCCAACAUGCAGAGCUACAGGCACCCCAAACAUGCAAUUUCGUUUCAAGGGGUUUGUACUUUAGAAAAUGGAUGAUGUUAUGAGCCUCAGAGAUCUUGGUGGUAUGAGAUCAUCAACUGGGAAUCCCCAUCAAGAGUAGCAAAUAUUUAGCUUACAUCACAGGCCCAUAUAAAAAUCAGACAAUCGCAACUUAAUAAUUACAUAAUCAUUCCCAUAAAACUCUUGAAGAAAAUCAUUUGUAGCUAGUGGACUAAAUAUAUCAGCAAACAUCACAAUUGGAAAUUAAGAUAAAAUUUUACAGCAAGGAAGAUAAAUGUUUACAGUCAGAAAUGUCAUGAUCUGUCAGAAGUAGCUGGUUGUUAAAAUCAUAUUUGGAAAUUCAAUGGGAAUCCGUCUGAUUUUCUUCAUCACCCAGAUCAUGAGCAUUUCACCACAAAAGAAAUAUAUGAACCAUAUAAAUUAACCACCGCAAAACCAGCAACUAUAACAAGGCAAUCUAACAAACUAAGGAUCAUCACAAUUGAAAAAAAACAAUCUAGUGCCUUAUUUUUUAUCGAGCUCUAUUUCAUUUCAUGAAGGUAUCCAGUUAAUCGACGGAACGAGCAUUACUAAAAACUACUAAAUGAAUGGCCCGAUCUAUUAUAAAUCUACCGCUGGUAAACAGUCCAAUCACAACAAUUACAACACAGCUACUCCUUGGAGGAAUGGAAACUUACCCUG